rnacentral:snoRNA from 1 species
CCUCCAUUUCUUGGCAUGCAUGUGGUUGUGUAGUACUCAUGUACGGAGGAACAGUGAAUGCAGCGCUAUGUCUUCGGUACUGGUGUGUAUUAUCGUCUGCCGGUUCUAUCCUCAAUCGCUGUUACAAUU